GCUUUCGCUACAGAAAGAUUGUGAAGUCCCACUUUAGAGGUGCUGGGAGCUGUGUCUCUUGCACCUGCAGAUGGCUCUGGGCAUCAAAUUGCUCUCGCGUCUGGAUAUCUCCCAUUUCUUUAUCUGCCCUAAUUAAAUUGGUCAAAGUAUCCAGCACAGCAGUAGAUGGAAACAUGGAAGUGAAUAUUCUUGUCUUGUCCCUGAUCUUAAGAGGAAAGUGUUCCGUCUUUCGCCAUUAGGACCCCUUGGCAUGAUUACCUCUGGAGAACCACAGCAUGAACAAGAUUAUGGAGAAAGGAAUCAGCGGUGUGAUGUGGGGAGCAAUGAGAAACCCUGUGCUGUGAAGGCUCGCAUGCCAAAUAGAGAGAAAGACAAGACCACCACCAUCUUUACCAAGACUGCAGCAUAA
rnacentral:lncRNA from 1 species